rnacentral:rRNA from 1 species
GACGAACGCUGGCGGCGUGCUUAACACAUGCAAGUCGAACGGAAAGGCCCGGCUUUUGUGGGGUGCUCGAGUGGCGAACGGGUGAGUAACACGUGAGUAACCUGUCCUUGACUGUGGGAGAACUUCAGGAAACUGGGGCGAAUACCGGAUAGGAGCUCCUGCUGCAUGGGGGGGGUGGGAAAGUUUCGGCGGUUGGGGAUGGACUCGCGGCUUAUCAGCUUGUUGGUGGGGUAGUGGCUUACCAAGGCUUUGACGGGUAGCCGGCCUGGGAGGGUGACCGGCCACAUUGGGACUGAGCUACGGCCCAGACUCCUACGGGAGGCAGCAGUGGGGAAUAUUGCACAAUGGGCGGAAGCCUGAUGCAGCAACGCCGCGUGCUGGAUGACGGCCUUCGGGUUGUAACCCGCUUUCGCCUGUGACGAAGCGUGAGUGACGGUAAUGGGUAAAGAAGCACCGGCUAACUACGUG